CCCAAAUCAAAAUCUCAGUCUUCUUCUCCGACGAGACCUACCGAAAAUCGCUGUUGUCGUCGCCACUGCCUCUCCAAAUCAGUAUGAAGUCAUCGUCCAGUCGAGGGAAUGUUACCAUGACAAAGAUGUUAUGAAAUUGCCAUGCUCAACAUCUACCAUCCACAUCAAAGCUAGCCCCAGUCCAACCUGGUGGUGUUGAACCCUCUACCUUUGGGUACUGUUCGUAUUCUCCUUCCUCUCCCUGGGUUCAUAAUUUUUUUUCCCUCUUCCGUCGCCAUCAAGAGAACGCUGUUGGUUCUGGCCAUUUAUUUGGGGAACAUUCCCUCGAUUGGACAUAUUUAUAACCAGUCCAAUUGCUAGUUCUGAUGUAUUUAAUGUGGAAGCAUCUUGAGUUAUACUGCACAGCCCCCUUGAAUUCCCAUCCUAAGCAUGAGAUUUAGGCCUGAGUCUGAGAAUCCCACUGGAGCUAGGCGAACCUCGAGGAAACUUGUACGACCACGGGUAACCAUUUAAUUGCUCCAAUUAAGGUUGGUUGGCAGUUUGAUUUGGUAUGAUUUGGUGGCUGGUUUGGUUGAUUGUAUUUCUGAUUGGGGAGUGGUAGCGACUGCCUUUGAACGACGAUGUUGAUGAUGUAUGGAUGGAGGUGAUGGCCGGCCUUUGGGUGGUAAUGUCGACAGUCGGUGCGGUGGGAAUGGGGAAGAGUAGAGUGGAAGGAAGAAGGGUUCAUUUUUAUUUUUUGGUUUUUUAAUUUUAUUUUUAACUUAUUUAACCCGUGUUUGGUUGCCAUUUCCAUUUUCAAUUGUAGAAGAAAUUGGACCGUUACACAGCAAGUUUGCAAGUGCAUUUAAUGUGCACCAGAAAUGGAAUUACAAUUUUA
rnacentral:lncRNA from 1 species